AUUGAACGCUGGCGGCAUGCCUUACACAUGCAAGUCGAACGGUAACAGGUCUUCGGACGCUGACGAGUGGCGAACGGGUGAGUAAUACAUCGGAACGUGCCUAGUCGUGGGGGAUAACUACUCGAAAGAGUGGGUAAUACCGCAUACGAUCUGAGGAUGAAAGCGGGGGACCUUCGGGCCUCGCGCGAUUGGAGCGGCCGAUGGCAGAUUAGGUAGUUGGUGGGAUAAAAGCUUACCAAGCCGACGAUCUGUAGCUGGUCUGAGAGGACGACCAGCCACACUGGGACUGAGACACGGCCCAGACUCCUACGGGAGGCAGCAGUGGGGAAUUUUGGACAAUGGGCGAAAGCCUGAUCCAGCAAUGCCGCGUGCAGGAUGAAGGCCUUCGGGUUGUAAACUGCUUUUGUACGGAACGAAAAAGCUUCCCCUAAUACGGGAGGCCCAUGACGGUACCGUAAGAAUAAGCACCGGCUAACUACGUGCCAGCCGCCGCCGUAAUAC
rnacentral:rRNA from 1 species